UACAUGUGGGGCAAGCGUUGUUCGGAAUUACUGGGCAUAAAGGGUGCGUAGGUGGCUUGUUAAGUCAGGGGUGAAAGUUUUCGGCCCAACCGGAAAAUGGCCUUUGAUACUGGCGAGCUCGAGUGCGUGAGGGGUAACCGGAACGAGCAGUGUAGCGGUGAAAUGCGUAGAUAUUGCUCGGAAGGCCAACGGCGAAGGCAGGUUACUGGUGCGCAACUGACACUGAGGCACGAAAGCGUGGGGAGCAAAACGG
rnacentral:rRNA from 1 species